rfam:Gossypium hirsutum cultivar TM-1 chromosome 21, whole genome shotgun sequence
CACGUCAACGCGUUUUGUUGACGUGGCAGAAAAUCGCGUCCACGUAAACGCGAUUUGUGUCUACGUCAGCAAAGCGCGCUAACGUGG